GGGUCUGUGGUUUAGUGGGUAAGUCAUCGUCACUUCGAAUGGGAGUGGUCCGGGGUUCGAUUCCCCGCGGAUCCA
rnacentral:tRNA from 1 species